ensembl:lncRNA SDCBP2-AS1 SDCBP2 antisense RNA 1
CCCACGAUCCCUAGCGGCUGCAGAGUGGAACAUGGCGGCCUCCUUGCCGCUUGCGUUACCAGAGUCCACCCGGCCUCGUGCUUUCUCCGGGCGCCCGUAGCUGGCGCCGGCAUCCACAAAAAUAGAUCAGACUUUCGCUCUUGUCGCCCAGGCUGGAGUGCAAUGGCGCAAUCUGCAAUGGCUCACUGUGACCUCCGCCUCCCAGGUUCAAGCAAUUCUCCUGCCUCAGCCUCCCAAGUAGGUGGGAUUGCAGGCCCCCACCACCAUGCCCAGACCCUGAGAGCCUACUGACCACAGCAGCUCCUGUUACCACGGCUGCCGUUUCUGCUCUCAAUGCUACUGCUCAUUGAUCCCAGGGAGGAAAAUUCUGGUGCAUCACUUAGUAUUUAUUUCAGGUAUGGUUAGGACAUUUCAGAAUAAAGGAUGGCUUCUUCUGGA